GAUGCCAGCUAGCGAUCCGCCAAAGUUCCUCCGAUGACUUGGUGGGCAGCUUCCGGGAAACCAAAGCAUUUGGGUUCCGGGGGAAGUAUGGUUGCAAAGCUGAAACUUAAAGGAAUUGACGGAAGGGCACCACCAGGAGUGGAGCCUGCGGCUUAAUUUGACUCAACACGGGAAACCUCACCAGGCCCGGACACCGGAAGGAUUGACAGAUUGAGAGCUCUUUCUUGAUUCGGUGGGUGGUGGUGCAUGGCCGUUCUUAGUUGGUGGAGCGAUUUGUCUGGUUAAUUCCGAUAACGAACGAGACUCUAGCCUACUAAAUAGACGUACUUUAUUACCGGCAUCUCAAGGCCCAUCGGCUGUAUUGUUACUGAAUGUUAUUUGUAUAUUUUGUUGAUAUAUAUUUAUAAUAUGUAUGAUUGAUAAUAUAUAUUUUUAUUUAAUUCCAAUUAUUUAUUAUAUAUAAUUAUUUAAUCUGCAUUAAUGAUAUAUUUGAAACAUGGUACAUUAACUAAAGUGACAACAGUUUUUUGAUGU
rnacentral:rRNA from 1 species